UAGGGAAUCUUCCGCAAUGGACGAAAGUCUGACGGAGCAACGCCGCGUGAGUGAAGAAGGAUUUCGGUUCGUAAAACUCUGUUGUUAGGGAAGAAAAAAUGUAUAGUAACUAUAUACAAAAGAGACGGUACCUAACCAGAAAGCCACGGCUAACUACGUGCCAGCAGCCGCGGUAAUACGUAGGUGGCAAGCGUUGUCCGGAAUUAUUGUGCGUAAAGCGCGCGCAGGUGGUUUAGAAAGUCUGAUGUGAAAGCCCACGGCUCAACCGUGGAGGGUCAUUGGAAACUAAUAAACUUGAGUGCAGGAGAGAAAAGUGGAAUUCCUAGUGUAGCGGUGAAAUGCGUAGAGAUUAGGAGGAACACCGGUGGCGAAAGCGGCUUUUUGGCCUGCAACUGACACUGAGGCGCGAAAGCGUGGGGAGCAAACAGG
rnacentral:rRNA from 1 species